rnacentral:rRNA from 1 species
GGACUACACGGGUAUCUAAUCCUGUUUGCUCCCCUUGCUUUCGCGCCUCAGCGUCAGGAAUAAGCUAGAAAACCGCUUUCGCCACAGGUGUUCUUCCACAUAUCUACGCAUUUCACCGCUACACGUGGAAUUCCGUUUUCUCCGCUCUUCCUCUAGAAACGCAGUUUCAGAUGCACAGCCGAAGUUGAGCUUCGGUAUUUCACAUCUGACUUACAUCCCCGCCUACGCGCCCUUUACGCCCAGUAAUUCCGACUAACGCUUGCACCCUCCGUAUUACCGCGGCUGCUGGCAC